rnacentral:misc_RNA from 1 species
GAGAGAGAGAGAGAGAGAAAGCAAUAUAGAUAAGAAAAUAAAUUUUUUCAAAAGAGAGAAGAAAAACAUUACCAGGACUUGCUAGAUGCUACUCAAAAUAGAUAGAGUAAAAAAUAUAAAAAAUCAUAAAAGAAUCUUUUGAAAGAUUCAUGCAGCCAAAUAUAGUUAGUUGAGACAAGUGAUCACAAAGUUUGCUGAAAGUCAAGCUAUCCUUCUCCUUAAUUCCUUAUUUUGACUUGGGUUUUACUAUCAUCAAAUUAUUAUCUGGAAAAUAAACCAUUGAGGAUAAGAAAUGCAUUGUGAGUUGGUGCUAAAUGUCAAAGAUGUAGGAACCCAUUAAUCAUCUACAUCUUCAUUGUUCAGCUAAUAAAUAGAUUUGUUUGUGUUCAAAGCUAAAGUUGGUUAAUGAGAUAGAAGGUGUUCAAGAGGAGGCUGUGGAAUUUGGGGCCAAUAGUAUCACAUGGAAUGCAAGAUUGUUCCACCUUUUCUAUAACUUGAGACUAAAGAGUAAUACUAGAGUCUUUGAAGAGAAUGAAAGUUUGCUUCAUAAGCUAAAAUAUGGAAACUCAACUCAACUCAACUAAG